rnacentral:rRNA from 1 species
GAUGAACGCUAGCUACAGGCUUAACACAUGCAAGUCGAGGGGCAGCAUGAACAAAGCUUGCUUUGUUUGAUGGCGACCGGCGCACGGGUGCGUAACACGUAUCCAAUCUGCCCGCGGCUCGGGGAUAGCCCAUCGAAAGAUGGAUUAAUACCCGAUGGCGUGGUCCCUCCGCAUGGAGUUUCCACUAAAGGUUUUCCGGCCGCGGAUUAGGAUGCGUAUGAUUAGGUAGUAGGCGGGGUAACGGCCCACCUAGCCUUCGAUCAUUAGGGGUUCUGAGAGGAAGGUCCCCCACACUGGAACUGAGACACGGUCCAGACUCCUACGGGAGGCAGCAGUGAGGAAUAUUGGUCAAUGGGCGAGAGCCUGAACCAGCCAAGUAGCGUGAAGGAAGACUGCCCUAUGGGUUGUAAACUUCUUUUGUUCGGGAAUAAAGUGCAGUACGCGUACUGUUUUGUAUGUACCGUUCGAAUAAGCAUCGGCUAAUUCCGUGCCAGCAGCCGCGGUAACAC